rnacentral:rRNA from 1 species
CCUACGGGAGGCAGCAGUGAGGAAUAUUGGUCAAUGGCCGAGAGCCUGAACCAGCCAAGUAGCGUGAGGGAAGACUGCCCUACGGGUUGUAAACCUCUUUUGUCCGGGAGCAAGGAUCGCCACGAGUGGAUCUGCGCAGGUACCUGAAGAAUAAGCAUCGGCUAACUCCGUGCCAGCAGCCGCGGUAAUACGGAGGGUCCGAGCGUUAUCCGGAUUUAUUGGGUUUAAAGGGUGCGUAGGCGGAAGCUGAAGGUUACCGGGAAAUUUUCGGGGCCCACCCUUACCGUGCGGUGGAAACUGGUCUUCUAGAGUGGGCGGAAGGCAUGCGGAAUGCGUGGUGUAGCGGUGAAAUGCAUAGAUAUCACGCAGAACUCCGAUUGCGAAGGCAGCAUGCCGGCGCGCAACUGACGCUCAUGCACGAAAGCGUGGGUAUCGAACAGGAUUAGAUACCCCUGUAGUC